rnacentral:rRNA from 1 species
AGCGAACGCUGGCGGUAGGCCUAACACAUGCAAGUCGAACGGCAGCACAGUAAGAGCUUGCUCUUACGGGUGGCGAGUGGCGGACGGGUGAGGAAUACAUCGGAAUCUACUUUUUCGUGGGGGAUAACGUAGGGAAACUUACGCUAAUACCGCAUACGACCUACGGGUGAAAGCAGGGGAUCUUCGGACCUUGCGCGAUUGAAUGAGCCGAUGUCGGAUUAGCUAGUUGGCGGGGUAAAGGCCCACCAAGGCGACGAUCCGUAGCUGGUCUGAGAGGAUGAUCAGCCACACUGGAACUGAGACACGGUCCAGACUCCUACGGGAGGCAGCAGUGGGGAAUAUUGGACAAUGGGCGCAAGCCUGAUCCAGCCAUACCGCGUGGGUGAAGAAGGCCUGCGGGUUGUAAAGCCCUUUUGUUGGGAAAGAAAAGCAGCAGGUUAAUACCCCGCUGUUCUGACGGUACCCAAAGAAUAAGCACCGGCUAACUUCGG